GAACGUUGGCGGCGUGGAUUAGGCAUGCAAGUCGAACGAGAAAGUUCCCUUCGGGGAGCGAGUACAGUGGCGAACGGGUGAGUAACGCGUGGGAAACCUGCCUCUGAGCGGGGGAUAACAUCCCUAACGGGGUGCUAAUACCGCAUAACAUCGUUUUUCCUCAUGGAAUUACGAUCAAAGAUGGCCUCUGAUUUAAGCUAUUACUUGGAGAUGGUCCCGCGUUUGAUUAGCUUGUUGGUGAGGUAACGGCUCACCAAGGCGACUAUCAAUAGCUGGUCUGAGAGGAUGGUCAGCCACACUGGGACUGAGAUACGGCCCAGACUCCUACGGGAGGCAGCAGUCGAGAGGCUUCGGCAAUGGGGGCAACCCUGACCGAGCGACGCCGCGUGAAGGAUGACGCCCCUCGGGGUGUAAACUUCUUUUCUGAGGGAAGAACCACAUGGAGUCUAAUACGCUUCGUGUCUGACGGUACCUCAGGAAUAAGCUCCGGCUAACUCCGUGCCAGCAGCCGCGGUAAUACGGGGGGAGCAAACGUUGUUCGGAAUCACUGGGCGUAAAGGGCGUGUAGGCGGCUCGAUAAGUGGUGUGUGAAAGCCUCUGGCUCAACCAGAGAAUUGCGCUCCAAACUGUCGAGCUUGAGGGCAGUAGAGGAAACUGGAAUUCCAGGUGUAGCGGUGAAAUGCGUAGAUAUCUGGAGGAACACCGUUGGCGAAGGCGAGUUUCUGGGCUGUCCCUGACGCUAAGGCGCGAAAGCUGGGGGAGCGAACAGG
rnacentral:rRNA from 1 species